rnacentral:tRNA from 1 species
UCCCUGGUGGUCCAGUGGUUAGGACUCUGAGCUCUCACUGCUGAAGUCUGGGUUCGAUCCCCAGUCGGGGAA